rfam:Triticum aestivum genome assembly, contig: Triticum_aestivum_CS42_TGACv1_scaffold_457365_5DS
GUCCCUUCGUGGACAUCCAAUAAAAUUGGAAUGAUACAGAGAAGAUUAGCAUGACCCAUGCGCAAGGAUGACACGCACAAAUCGAGAAAUGGUUCAAAAAAUU